rnacentral:tRNA from 1 species
GGGCCGUUAGCUCAGGCGGCAGAGCAUCUGCCUUUUAAGCAGAGGGUCGCUGGUUCGAAUCCAGCACGGCUCA